GACAAGUGAGGUUCUAAACUACACCUCUGCCAUGCCUGUACUGACCUUUGGACCAGGGAGCCCCAUGGGGCCAGCAACUCCCAUUUCACCCUAAAAGAAGAAAGACAACAAAAAAAAUAGUCACCAAACAUCCUGUGUGCCCAGCAGGCAACAUGCCAGGUGUCAGGAACACAACACAAUCAGUGCACAAAAGUAUGAACAGAAUAGAAGGCACAGAACAUGAGUAUCCAUUGAGUGAAUGAAAUAGUAUUUCCUUGUUCCAUCUCUGCAAGACAGGAAUCUCAAAUCUCAAGACAGACUUCAUCUCUCCAUGGUUCUGUGGUAUUUCAUCCCAUUACUCAUUUUGACAGAAGGAGGGGAAGAUGCACACAUGGCAGACAGGACACAGACAGCUCUGCAAAUGCCAUGAAGGAAGAGAUCCCAGACUGAGGGGGCGGUGCAGGCUCACCCACAAGAAUGUAAUGUCAGGUGCCCAGUCCCACUGCACCAGACCCUGAGAAAAUGGAGAAGCAAGACCUGUGCAAUUGGAGAUGGAGUUGGAUGGGAAUGCAAUGGACUUCUCCAGAAAAGUGGCCUCUGGAGAAGAAUCCCAACUCCUCCAUUCAGCCUUCCACACUUACAAAAUCAAGCCUCUCAGCAGUUAGUUUGAAAAUGUCUCAAUGUCUCUGCAUCUCAGUAUGACCAGGGAUGUUAUGGAAAAAUCAUUCAGCAGGACUAAUUGAUCAGGACAGGCUUGGAACAGAAGCCAGCUGAGCAUAUGGUUAAAAGCACAGAUGUGGGAACCUGAAUGACUGGGUUCAAAUCUCAACCCCUGCUCUUAUUACCUGUCAAAAGAUUUCUCUUUCCUCACCGGACUGUGUGCUGGUGGAGAGCUGUCCUACCUUCAUGGGAACUGAAAGCUGAAACACAUCAGAGCUAAGAAAACCAAGACUCAGAAAGAUAAAGUAACCCAUCCCAGGACCCACACGAAUGAAGGAGUAGACACGAGACCUGAACCCAGGUCUAUGUGACCCUGAGCCAGUGCCCUCCACUGCAUCACGAAGCUGGGUCACUCAUGCUGCCAAUAUAGGUGUCACAGGACAGCAGAGUUGGUGUCCAUGUCCUUGGCUAGACCAAGUGUCUUGGAGGACAGGAACUCAGUCUUCUUUACCCCCAUCAGAAGGCCUGGUACUACAUUAUCAUUAGGACAAGAAGCUAGACCUCUUGGGUCUCAUGACAUCCCCCCUGCAGGUCCUCUGAGCCUCCAUACGCCAGGCUCUCUAUCUCUCUAGGCCCAGGGAUAAGAGCCCUGGAGAAAACAUGGUGGGUGGUGCCAUCCACUGUGAGAGGGGAACAGAAAGCUCAGGACCACUGAGAUAAGGCAUCUGCUGCCCUUACCUGUGGGAUGCUGUACUGGUCGAUGACCUGCCAGAUAUACCAGUCUUCCUUCCGAGAGGUUUUCCUGAACCGGAAGGUUGUGACAAAGGCGUACUCAUCAGGUAAACCUUGGGGGAACACAUCCCUGGAGAAAAAUGGAGACAAAGACACCAGGCUUGGCGAUGAGAGCAGGGAGCCAGCAAAGUGAGCCCACACAACCCAGCAGUGAUCAAGCCCUGCCAAUUUGACUUCCUAAAUAUUUCCACCAUCCACCUUCUUGGCCUGCCUUCACUGCCUUCUCCUUAGGUCAGGGCCUCAAUGUGGCCUAGACCAUCGUCAUGACCCCCGAGGCUCCAACAUCAGCACCUUCAAAUCCAUCCCUAUGGUGCGUCUGCUUCCAUCUCUCCACCACCACCAUGACUCUGAUGACAUCCACAGUAAACGCUAAAUGGUCACGCCCCCGGGAUCAAAUAUGGAGAGACACCCAGCUUCGCUGCUCCCUGCUGCAUCCUCCUCAGCCAGGACAAAUGGAUAUACCUUAUCCUGCUUGGUGCCCUGUCCCAGAUGCCAGGAUGCCAUGGUCUGAAUGUUGCUGUCUUCCUAAAUCCAUAUGUUGAAAUCUUCACACCAAGGGAGACUCCAAAGAGGGAGGGGAGGCUUCAGGACUCCUCUGGCUGUGGACUGACACAGGAGGGCCCAUAAUAGAGGGUCCCGGUCACCAAACAGACUCUUUGAAAGGAUCCUCCACAUAUGUCGUAGACUAAGAAAUCUGUUCAAAGUCCUGCAUUUUCAUGUGUAAGUGGAACAUUCUAGACUUCUGAA
rnacentral:lncRNA from 1 species